CCUACGGGAGGCAGCAGUGGGGAAUAUUGGACAAUGGGGGGAACCCUGAUCCAGCCAUGCCGCGUGUGUGAAGAAGGCCCUCGGGUUGUAAAGCACUUUCAGUGAGGAAGAACGCCUGGUGGUUAAUACCCAUCAGGAAAGACAUCACUCACAGAGGAAGCACCGGCUAACUCCGUGCCAGCAGCCGCGGUAAUACGGAGGGUGCGAGCGUUAAUCGGAAUUACUGGGCGUAAAGCGCGCGUAGGUGGCUUGAUAAGCCGGUUGUGAAAGCCCCGGGCUCAACCUGGGAACGGCAUCCGGAACUGUCAAGCUAGAGUGCAGGAGAGGAAGGUAGAAUUCCCGGUGUAGCGGUGAAAUGCGUAGAGAUCGGGAGGAAUACCAGUGGCGAAGGCGGCCUUCUGGACUGACACUGACACUGAGGUGCGAAAGCGUGGGUAGCAAACAGGAUUAGAUACCCGAGUAGUC
rnacentral:rRNA from 1 species